CUUUUGCUACAACUAACUACCAAUCGGCAAUCUACGACAUUCCUAAUAGGUACUCAUGAGGCUGGAAGGACCAGAUAUUGAUGUUGAUAAUGGAGGGAUUACCACUCACGAUUGGUGUCGAGAAAACUGUUGUUGACCAUUUCAAGUACUGAUAGCCAAACUUGUGCUUACUGAAAGAUCUGUUGAGUGAGGAAUUACAAGAAGACUGUAGUUUUACAGGGGCGUUGGUAGAAGAUGGCAAAUAAUAAAGGAAGGUGACAAAUGCAAGAAUUUUUCAAUUGUGUUACAAGAAACACUUGAAAGUUCAUUUUUAAGUGGCUUAUGAAUAUUCACACAUUUGACUUUUGCAUCAGGACUUUUGGUAUAAUUUAUCCUAUAAUGAAUUAAGUUAUGACUUGUCUAGACUAUAGACUAUUAUUGUAUAAUUGCCUGACAGAGACAAAUUGUGAAUUUAUUUGGAAGUUUUCUGCUAAAGGCUUAUAAAGCAGCUGAAGCCUUUGAUACAUUUUUCAGGUAAUUUUAAUGCAGCAUUGAUGUUAAAAACGUGUGACUGGCGCAAGUUUAAACAGUACUACCAGUUGGAACAGCCGCAUAGAGAUAAUUGAAAAUAUACAAAUUCUAAAAUCC